CCCAUGCCUGUUUCUGGAGCUUUCCACCGAGGAAGGAAGCCAGCACACCUGGGCUUAAUCGCCGGGAGAGGAGACUCAUGGCCCCCGCAGGGCUCCCGUGCAGGACCGAAAACGGCUCCGUCCUUGGCCCUGACCCCAGACAGCAGGAGGUGGACGGGCCCAGAGUAACGAAGCCGUUAGGGUCUCCAUCCUGCUCACUGGACAUGUGAUGCCUCCUUCCCUGCUCUGAAGGCCUGUCCUCAGGGGACACGCUUCCUCCCAUCUGGAUGGCGUCCCUGCCAAGCAAUGGAAGAGAGACCCGGUUUGGGAGAUGUGACCCCAAUCCUGAUGUGCCCCCGUCCCGGAAGACGGGCACGUGGGCCCUGGCCUGCCUCAGCAGCCCUGCUGAGGACCGAGCACAGACCGGGCGGGCGUCCUCUGGAGGCACCUGCCAGUUGGAAGGCACGUCACCUCCGUAAGCCCGUCGCCUGGUCCCAUCGUGAGACAACCAUCACACAAAUCCCAGCUGGGGGCCGUUCUCCAAAACACACCGGCACGCCUCACACUGUCCGGGUCAUGAAGACCCGGGAAAGUCGGAGAAACCGUCACAGCCAAGAUAAGCCCGCAGAGACGGGAUGCCCAAACAUCAUGUGGUUCCUGGAUGAGAUCCUGGGACGGAGAAAGGAAGGGGGGCGGGAAUGAGGCGGCGUAACCAAGCGUGGACUUCAGUUACUACUGGCUCCUUGACUGGCACGACUGGAAGGCGUUAAUAAUCUCAGCAGCCGUGUUUGGGGUGCGUGGGGACCAUCUGCACCGUCUCUGCAAAAAAUUCCGUAAAUCCAAAUCCAUUCUGAAAUUGGAAGUUGGUUCAAAAUUACGUGAGUGUCAACAGGGUGGCCGUUGGGGUUGUGGAAUCAGAAGUGCAAGCCACGACCUUCAUCAUGACCUUCGUCACCUCCAGCGUGGAGUUGGACCCGGGCCUGGCGGGGCGGCUCACUCCCCAGGCGGUUGAGACGCGCCCACCGCGUUCUGUUCCUAUGUCAGGUUAUGUUUUGUUCACUUCCGCCCCAGAUUAAGUCUCGUGCGAUGGCCGGAGAGAGUAAAACACGGGACCCAGUGCAGACAGUUUCUCUUCCAUUCCUCUGGCCACAGGGCGUGCUGUCGCCCUCCCCAGAGGCGGUCUGGACACGAGCACGUUAGCACCUCUGCCACGUGUACCUACAUGGGCACCCACGGUAACACCCUCUACACAUUACAUACGCAUCUCGAGGGUUCUUCCGCAUCGUUACGGCCGCCGCGCCCUCGCCGGGGAGAGACUGCAGGGUCCCCAUCGCACAGAUGGCCCACAAUGCAGGUGGUUCCUUAUCAACAGACGUUUAUUUCAGCCUUUUGUUACGACAAAUAAGCCUACAAUGAAUGUCCUUGCACAGA